AAAAUACUCCCUCCGUCCGGAAUUACUUGUCAUGAAAAUGGAUGUAUCUAGAACUAAAAUACAUCUAGAUACAUCCAUUUCAAUGACAAGUAUUUCCGGACAGAGGGAGUACUAA
rnacentral:pre_miRNA from 1 species